rnacentral:rRNA from 1 species
AUGGGCGCAAGCCUGAUGCAGCGACGCCGCGUGAGGGAUGACGGCCUUCGGGUUGUAAACCUCUUUCAGUAGGGAAGAAGCGAAAGUGACGGUACCUGCAGAAGAAGCGCCGGCUAACUACGUGCCAGCAGCCGCGGUAAUACGUAGGGCGCAAGCGUUAUCCGGAAUUAUUGGGCGUAAAGAGCUCGUAGGCGGUUUGUCGCGUCUGCCGUGAAAGUCCGGGGCUCAACUCCGGAUCUGCGGUGGGUACGGGCAGACUAGAGUGAUGUAGGGGAGACUGGAAUUCCUGGUGUAGCGGUGAAAUGCGCAGAUAUCAGGAGGAACACCGAUGGCGAAGGCAGGUCUCUGGGCAUUAACUGACGCUGAGGAGCGAAAGCAUGGGGAGCGAACAGGGUUAGAUACCCUGGUAGUCCAUGCCGUAAACGUUGGGCACUAGGUGUGGGGGACAUUCCACGUUUUCCGCGCCGUAGCUAACGCAUUAAGUGCCCCGCCUGG